UUGACAGAAGAGAGUGAGCACACGGCGCGACGAACGGCAUAAUAUGUAUGUCGUCCUCGCCGCGUGCUCACUUCUCUUUCUGUCAG
rfam:Sorghum bicolor cultivar BTx623 chromosome 4, whole genome shotgun sequence.